UCUUAUCAAGAGAGGCAGAGGGAACGGCCCUUCGAUGCCCAGCAACCAUUCGGAAUUAAUAACUUCGGAACGGUGCCAAAUCCGACGAACUAAACUUUUUAAUUAGUGUUUGUUCGAGAGAUGAG
rnacentral:ncRNA from 1 species